UUACGGCCACAUCACAUUGAAACUUUGUUUCCCGUACGAAACCGAAGUUAAGCAACGUCGAGCCGAGUCAGUACCUAGAUGGGUGAAUGCUUGGGAACAUCAGGUGCUGCAA